rnacentral:misc_RNA from 1 species
AGGAAGGCAUUUAUCGUAAGUCUGCAGCGCGCGUUCGGCCUAGGAAGAGGCGUAGUGUUAUUUUUGUCGGUGGCGAAGGUGGUCGUUCGGUGCAUUUCGGGCUCGGGACAUCCGCGCCGAAUGCCUUGGGGAGAAAGCGAACCGGCCGAAAGUUAACAACUCGUAGCCAAGCAACUUGAUCGGUUGUCAAUUUUCCUGACCACCUGUUGCACCCUCGUCAGUGGCAGCUAAUUCGCCUGCACAUACCCAGCAUUCAAUCAUGGAUCCGUCAAGGUUCAACGGCACCACUAUGGCGUCCAGCAAAGAGACAGAGGCCUUGAGGACCACAGAGCAGGGACACGUAGGCGCGACGUCGGAUCACGAUAGUCAGGCGAACCCUUUGGCUCCCCUGCUCCAAUUUGGUCAGUACAAUCCGGGAGUACCCAGCAUGGAACCGCCGCCUUACAGCUCAGUCGUAACGCAGGAUUCCCAAGCCUGGCUAAAUCACCCCGGCACCUCUUCCACCGU